UCUAGACUAGAAUUUAGAGCCCAGUAACCAAACAGGGCCCAAAUACUCCUCCCGCCUGCGAGGCAAAGCACGCCCUUCUCUGCGCUCCUCCAUGGCAUGGCCGCCCACUGCGUCAAUCUCUCCAAAUUCUUCAAUGUCACAUGGGUCCGGCACCAACCGAAGCAAAAUCUCAUCAAGUCCUUCGCCUCCCCAGCUCCGACGGGUGAGGCUCGGCACCUCGAGGCCCUCACCGUGCUCAUGCCCAACACUUGUUCGUUCAAAUGUCUCAAAGCGCUGCACGCGCGGUUCGCCGUCACGGGAUCGAUCCGGGACAACUCUGUCGUCACGGGCCUCGUCGAGAGGUAUCUUUCUUUAGGAAAGCCCGCGCCCGCGGCGUCCCUUUUUGCCGAAGCCUACAACAGCCGCCCCAUGGUGUAUUCACUGAAUCUCGCCGUCCGUUGCUUCUCGGACCAUGGGUUCCACCGAGAGCUUCUUGAUCUUUACAGGGAGCUGUGUGGCUUUGGGUCCGACAACUUCACUUUCCCGCCGGUCAUCAAGGCUUGCACGGCUGUGUCUUGCCUUCGACUGGGGAGGGAGGUGCAUUGCAGGGUUCUGCGGACUGGGCAUGGGGGCAAUGUUGGUGUGCAGACUGCGCUCCUUGAUUUGUACGCUAAGGCUGGCCUGAUUGAUGUGUCAAGGAGAGUCUUUGAUGCCAUGGUGGAGAGGGACUUGAUUUCUUGGAACGCUAUGGUCUCAGGGUACUCACUCAAUGGGUGCUUCCAAGAAGCUGUUGAGGCGUUGCAGGAGAUGCAGCAGGGUGGCAUUAGGUUGAAUGCAAGCACACUUGUUGGUAUCAUUGGUAUGUGCGGUGGUGUUGAAGCAAAGGAUGUUGGUAGUUCGCUCCACGCAUUGGCAAUGAAAUAUGGGGUGAUAGCUGAUGAGUCCCUUACAUCUGCGUUCAUCUCAAUGUAUUCUGCAUUUGACAAUCUUUCCUCAUCUCGAUUGGUUUUUAAUAUGCAACCUAUGAAAGAUUUGGUAGCUUUCAAUUCCAUGAUAUCAGCGUACAUGCAGCACUGCAACUGGAAGGAAGCUUUUGAGGUCUUCAGAUUGAUGCAUUGUGCAGGCCUAGGACCUAAUCUAGUCACUGUGGUUUCUGUCCUUCCAUGUUGCAAUGAAUUCUUUGGUAUAAACCAAGGCGAGUCUGUGCAUGGUAUGAUUAUCAAGUCUGGCCUUUCAGAGCAGGUUUCUGUUGUCAGUGCUCUUGUUUCCAUGUAUUCGAAGCUUGGGAAAUUGCACUCAGCUUUGCUCCUUUUCUGUUGUUUCACCGAGAAGAACAAUCUUGUGUGGAACUCUAUGAUUUCUGGAUACCUUGUGAACAAUGAAUGGAGCAAGGCUCUUGAUGCGUUCUGCAAGAUGCAGAUUGAGGGUGUGGCUCCAGAUGCAACAGGUAUCAUUAAUGUGAUCUCUGGAUGUAGACACACAAAAGAUUUGCACAUGGCGAAGUCGAUACAUGCAUAUGCUGUUAGAAAUAAAUUUGAAUCAAACCAGAUUGUAAUGAAUGCACUCCUAGCUAUGUAUGCCGACUGCGGAGAUAUAUCAGCUUCCUAUACAUUAUUCCAGAAAAUGGGAAUACGGAUGUUAGUAUCCUGGAACACUAUGAUAUCUGGUUUUGCUGAAAUAGGGGAUUCAGAGGCUUCUCUAAUGUUAUUCUGCCAGAUGUGCCACGAAGAAGUGCAGUUUGAUUUAGUAACUCUGAUUGGUGUUAUUAGCGCCCUUUCAGUGUCCGAGGAUGUUAUAGUUGGAGAAUCAGUUCAUUCUCUAGCAGUCAAAAGUGGAUGUAAUUCUGAUGUUUCUCUUACAAAUGCCCUCAUUACCAUGUACACCAACUGUGGUAUUGUUGAAGCAGGUCAGAAACUUUUUGACAGUUGCUCUGCGAAUACAAUCACUUACAAUGCUCUGAUGAGUGGAUAUCGCAAAAACAACUUAUCUGAAAGGAUAUUGCCUUUGUUUUACCAUAUGGUCAAGAAUGAUGUGAAACCAAAUCUUGUAACAUUACUGAAUUUAUUGCCUGUUUGUCAGAGCCAGUUGCAAGGGAAGUCUAUACACAGCUAUGCAGUACGAAAUUUCACCAGGCUGGAAACAGCCCUCUUCACAUCAGCGAUGUGUAUGUAUAGUAGGUUCAACAAUAUAGAAUACUGCAGCAAAAUUUUCAGUUUGGUUGGUGACAGAAACAUUAUAUUAUGGAAUGCCUUCUUAUCUGCAUGUGUCCAAUGCAAGCAGGCUGAUGUCCUAGUUCAUUUGUUCAAGCAUAUGCUCUUCCUUAAUGUCAAACCUGAUGCAGUAACCAUGCUGUCACUCAUCUCAGCUUGUUCACAGCUUGGAGAUGCAGAUUUUGCUGCAUGUGUUACGGCUCUCAUUCUUCAGAGGGGUUUUGGUGCAAAGGUUGUGGUUCUCAAUGCUCUUAUUGACAUGCAUUCAAGAUGCGGAAGCAUAUCAUUUGCGAGGGAGCUCUUUGAUAGCUCAGUGGAGAAAGAUUCAGUCACUUGGGGUGCAAUGAUCAACGCAUACAGUAUGCAUGGGAAUGGUGAGGCUGCACUUGAUCUUUUCUCGGUGAUGAUAGAUUCAGGAGUGGUUCCAGAUGACAUAACUUUUGUUAGUAUCUUGUCGGCCUGCGGUCAUAGCGGCUUCGUAGAGCAAGGAAGAACAUUGUUCAAAUCACUACAGGCGGUCUAUGGCAUUACACCACGAAUGGAGCAUUAUGCAUGCAUGGUGGAUCUUUUGGGCCGAACUGGCCACUUGGAUGAAGCAUUUGAUAUUGUUAGGUCAAUGCCAUUUAGGCCAUCAGAUAAUUUGCUUGAAUCGUUGCUUGGAGCAUGCAGAUUCCAUGGUAAUUCUAAAAUUGGCGAGUCUGUAGGGAAAUUGCUCAUUGAAUCUGAGCAUGGCAAGUCAAGAUCUUAUGUCAUGCUCUCGAAUAUCUACGCUUCAGCUGGCAAAUGGAGUGAAUGUGAGCAGCUGAGAUCAGACAUGGAAGCAAAAGGAUUGCGAAAAGAUGUGGGGGUUAGCUUAAUUGGGAUGGUAUAGUAGCCCUGAUGAAACACAGGUUUAGAGUUUGACAUGUUUUAUGUCACACAUUACAGUUUUGGGUGAUGUCUUGAAACUAUGCCCAUAUCUAGUUAACUUUUCUUACAGGUAGUCGCCAGAGCACUUAUUUUUGUUUGUGCACAAGAAAACAUUCCAUCACCCAUGGCUUAACAUUUUAGAGUGGCUAAUUAUUGCAUAAAAUCGAAAUAUGCCCACCUAUGUGCAAUAAGGAACAUUGCCUUUAAAAUCUACGAUUACAGUUUCCAUACAAGAUUGUGGGGCAUGCAAAUGACUGACUCAAGGAGAUCCAGUCAUAUCCAAAUCGGAUAUCAGUUACAUGAGCACAGCAAAAUAUGCAGAGGAUUGAGCAGACAAUUGAAGAUUUUAUAGUGCAGACACGUGCAAUUCUGGAAUAUAGUCAGUUAGUAACAAAUUUGUUGAGUUGCGGCUUCGAUGGCAGACAAGAAAAUUGAAGAGGCCGAUUCAUCUCGCAUUGUAUCUUCACCAAAAUCUUCGCAAAGUUCAAUAGAGCCUAAGCUAAUUGAAGGUACUGAUGAAGAUUAUCAUAAUAACCUUCUGGAGACAGCAAGUGCUAAUUUUGAGGCACCAUUGCAGCAAGAGUAUACUAUUAGCCUUGUAUUAGCUGAGAACAAACACAAUUUGCAAGAAACUUCAGUUGAACAAAAGGCUCCUACUGGUGACUCAAACCUUUCACCGAAAGUGGACAGCAGCGAAAUGACAUUUACCAAUGAAGUUCAUGAUGGUAUUCCAUCUUCCUCUAGUGGAGCCCAUGGUGAUUCUAAUGAAGUUCAUGAUGGUAUUCCAUCUUCCUCUAGUGGAGCCCAUGGUGAUUCUAACACAAUGAGAAUAUGAGAUCAAACACAGCUAUUUCCAUGCUUGAGGCAUCAAUGCAGCAAGAAUUUCCUAUGAGCCUCAUAUUGAUUGACGGGAAAGGCGAUUUGCAAGAAGUUUCAGUUGAACAAAAAGUUCCUAUUGGUGAUUAUGUUGCUCUGUCACCAAAAGCAGGCAGUUGUGAAUUACUGUCCACCAACAAAAUACCUGAUAGCUUUCCAACUUCCUGUAGUGAUGCUUAUGAAUCAAAGGAAGCCCAAGAUGAUUCUAUCAAAAUGGAAGCUUCUGAAGUAAAUGUCUGUGCAGAUUCACAGUCUUUGCUUAGAUUAAAUGAAGGGGUCCAAGAUGAUGCUUCUUGUAUUGAUUCUGGUAUGUUUACUUGUGGAACACCACCUGCCAUCCUGAAAAAGGUGAAAGAAGAUAGACCACUGACUGUCAACAGAUUUCAAGAGCACCAAAUGGACCUAGGAGACACACUGCAAAAGGUCCCUACACCUGUGAGCAGAUCAAGCACCAGCAAGUACUUGAGAAUGGAUAAAACCACUGUUGAUACUACGACCCCUAUUGAAUCAGUAAAGGUUGCUGCAUCAAAGUUUGGUGGUAGCAUCAACUGGAAAACUCGUAGAUCACAGACAGCACGGGAGAGUGACCAUACCAUACUUGAGCUUGAUAAGCUGAAGAAUGAAAUUUCAGAAUGUAAACAUCAAGCAGAAGCUGCAGAGGCUGCAAAGUUAUCAGUAUUCAAUGAGCUUGGGAGAACAAAGAACAUUAUUGACGAGAUGACACACGUCCUGGAGAAGCAACAAGCCAUAGAGGUGGAUGCCAAGGAGGACUUGGAGUUGUUUCAAUUUAUUUUACAAGAGAUGGAGGGAGUUGACUUUGACAAUAGUACUGUAACUGAGAAGUUGAAUAAUAUUCAAGAACGGCGCAAAUCAUUGGUUGCCAAAGUUUUGUUAGUGAAAGAUGACUUCAGAAAAGUUCAGGAGGAUUAUGAUUCUCUGUUGAUCGAAACAGAUAUUUCUGUUAGAAAAGCUCAGACAGCCUUCGCAAUGUCCAAAGAUGCUGAGAAACAAGUGGAGGAGCUCACCAUAGAGCUCCAAAGACUGAAGGAGGUGUUUGAUUUGGCUCAGUCCACAUGCCAUGAUGCUGAAGAAAACAAGAAAGGCACAUUGAUGGCGCGUGAUGAGGAUUGCCUGGCAUGGCAAAAGGAUCUCAGACAAGCAGAGCAAGAGCUGAAUCAAAUCAGCAUGAAGCUUUCUUCUGUUCAAGAAUUGCAGUCAAAGGUUGAUACAUCAUCCAGCUUGUUGCUGGAUCUCAAGAAUGAGGUAGCCACUUAUAUGGAGGCGAAGUUAAUCGAGGAAGCACAGGAACAAGAAAGUGGAACUCAUAAAUCCAUGCAAGAAGAAGCCAUCAUUCUGUCAAGGAAUGAGCUCGAGGAGCACAGGAAAAGCAUUGCUAAGGUGACAGAUGAAUUAUGCGCUCUGAAAACAACUGCUGCAUCACUCAAAUCGGAGUUGAACAGAGAGAAAGCAGCGCUUGCCGCCAUUCAGCAGAGGGAAGCGAUGGCAUCCAUAACCAUGCAAUCUGUCAAGGUGGAGAUUAAAUUAUCUCAGCAGGAAUUUGAAGCAGUUCAUGCCAAGGGGAAAGAGUGCGGAGAUAAAGCAGUCGAGUUGCGCAGGGUUCUGCAAGACGCAGCCAAGGAAGCCAAUGAGGCUAAGUCCGUCGCUGCCAAGACACAGGAGGAGCUAAGAAAGGCCAAGGAAGAAGUGGAGCUAGCGAAGGCUGCUCUGAGCACUAUGGAAUUCAGGCUUGAAGCAGUUCUGAGGGACGUAGAAGUGGCCAAAGAGUCUCAGCGGCUAGCGCUUAAUGCUCUGGAGGGCACUAAGGUUUCAGCAAACAUCAAACAACAGGGUUCUUCUCAGAUGAUCACGCUUGAUGUGGAUGAGUACGCAUCUCUAGUCGAGAGGUCCCAUCGGGCAGAAGAGCUUGUCCACGAGAAGACAGCUGCUGCUACUGCACAGGUCGAGGCAGCCAAGGAGUCUGAAUCACGCACCUUAUCAAGACUGAGCGAAACAUACAAGGCCUUGGAAGAACGAAAGCAGGCAUUGCUCGCCGACACAGAGCGGGCCGACAGGGCCACAGAGGGCAAGCUGGCCAUGGAGCAGGAGCUGAGGAAAUGGAGGGAGGAAAACGGCAGGCGGCGCAGGGCUGGUGACCAGGCUCCAAAAUCUAAAGCCAAACCUUCAAACACUGCAGAGAUCAUCCGUGGAGACACGAAAUGCACGAUCAAAGAUGACAGUUGUGCCGCCUCGUCAGUUCAUCCUCUGUCGGACGCGUCCGGGAGGAGCAGCCCCAACGAUCUGGCCCUGCAAGCGAAGACGAAGAAGGCAAAGAAGCUGUCGCUCUUCCCGCGCAUCAUCAUUUUCCUGGGCAGGAGGCGGCUCAAAGCUGCCAGGUAACAGAAUGCUCUUUCCUUUCUCUCUUUUCUGCGAUGUUUGUCAGUGCCGGGAGUGUGUAAAUUCGCAGUGGUUGCUGCCGAUGUUACGUUGACUGUGUUGUAUGUGUUGAAAGUUGUGAGAUUGCUGGUGAAUGUAUUUCGGUUUGCUGUACAAGAAUGCUUCUGUAACACAAUCGUAUCCGGUUCUUCUGUUCCUGAUUCUGGGAGCACUACGAUGGAGUAUACAAUAUACGCGUGCAGUUUGUUUUCA